rnacentral:rRNA from 1 species
UACGUAGGGGGCAAGCGUUGUCCGGAAUCAUUGGGCGUAAAGAGCGCGUAGGCGGCCCGAUAAGUCUGCUGUGAAAGUCCAGGGCUCAACCCUGGAAUGCCGGUGGAUACUGUCGGGCUAGAGUACGGAAGAGGCGAGUGGAAUUCCUGGUGUAGCGGUGGAAUGCGCAGAUAUCAGGAGGAACACCAAUAGCGAAGGCAGCUCGCUGGGACGUUACUGACGCUGAGGCGCGAAAGCGUGGGGAGCGAACAGG